CGGCGUGCGGCACGCGACGGGCGACGCGAGGAGACGGCGCCCACGGCUAGCGACGCAACGACGACCUCUUCCUCCGCGCUCUCCGCUGCCUUCUCUCCGGUAGCUCUCCACCGCGACUGUUGUGCUAGGGUUUCCUCUUGCUAGGGUUUCCUCUUGAUAGGGUGCUUGUGCUAUUCAUCUUCUCUUGCGUGGGUUUCCAAGGACGGGUGUUUCCUGAGGAUUCUGAUCUGCGUAGGGAAGGGGGAGGUGGUGUGGUAAUCGGAAUGGGUUCUUGGCGAUUUGGUGUGCAGUUAGGUUCUUGCGAUAUUUUGGGGGAUUAUUGGUGGAAGAACUCUAGGUUCUUGGUUCGGCUAGUGUGAUUACACAGAGAUUUGCGUUCAUCCUUUGUGAGAUUUGCUAGUUUUCAGUAUUUCCCUUAAUUUCCUAUGGCAGCAGCAAUUGAUCUUGACAUCAGUUACGAACAUCUGAUUUAGUUAUCCUGGAUAAAUUGGGAUGGGCUAACCCUGCCAAGGAGAUACUGUACUUUGUGUGUGUGAGAGAGAUACUGUGUAUAUAUGUGUGAUAGUGUGAUUCACUUUAUGGAAAUGGCCAAAAGGAACGGAAAGGUGCAGGUUCUUGGUGGCUUAAUUUAAAGUUUGGUUCCAUUACACAGCUUGUAUUUUCAGCUUGUACCUGUCAUGUGGAUUCUUGUGUUAUCACUUUCGGAACUUGUUUGCAAAUCGGUCUGGUGGUAAGUUGUAGCAGCUUGUAUUAAUUAAAUUUUAAAUUCUUGAAAGCCUAUUAUCUGUAUGAUGUUUCGAGUUUUUUUCUUUAUGAAUAGCAUGUCAAAAAAGAGAGAAAAUUAUUGUCUAGUCAUAGUACUGUUAAUAUGGUAAAUAAGUUAAGAAUGGAUGCACUCCUAGUCCUUAGUUCAUUUUUCUUCUGAACCUGCCAAACCUGUAAUAGUGUAGCAGUAGUAGUAUUUGAAUUGUUCUUCUUUUAGGUAAAUGGUUGUUAUAGAAUAGCUCUAGUUCAUUAUUAAUCAGUUAUAUGGCUCCGGUGUGCUGAAUAGGUGUGAUUUAUGGAAAAUAGAGCAAUAUGGUUAAUCUAGUCCUAGAUAGAUGCAACCCUUUUCUGUGACAUAAAACUUUUCUGGUAUUCUUCUGUGUGUAGUACUGCAGGUAGUUAAGAUUUCUUUGGCUUUGCUCAAUACUGUAAAUAAUUUGGGUACAGUACAGUAGCAAUAGUGGGCAUAUAUAAAUUUUGAUUGUGCAUUUCCUAAUUUCUUGUUACUUUGUGCAAGUAGUUGAUUAAUAAAUUUAGGUGUAUGCUAAGAUUCUUGAAGUAUGGUAGUACUAUUUAAUAGAAAAUGAAACACUGACAUUUACUGCUGUUUUAAACAGUAUAGUAAUUCAUGUUUAAGUAAAUUGAUUAGUACAUUCAGUUCAAUUCAGUACUCUAACAAUAUGAUGUCAGUUUGGAUAGAUAAUGAUGUUCAGUUUGGAUAGCUGUUUGGCUUAUAGUACUAAUCUAUAUCAAUUAAUGUUUAAGGAUUAGAUCAUGCUUUUUUUUUCUAAAGUCUGCUAGAUGAUGACUAGGCUGACAAGUGAGAACUGAAUAAAACUGUAUUUGAUUUCCUUUGAAAGAAUAUGAAAAAACUAUGUAUUAUUUCUCUAUUUCUUGAAGACAUGAGCCUCGUUGUGGUGCUCUUCAAGCUGUGCUUUUUGUUAUUUUUUGAAGACAAAAUUGAGAGUGCAGUCUAUUGUGUCUCCAAUAUCAAAAUGAUUAUCAUACUGAUUCUACUCCACACUGAUUUAUAAACAUUUGUCAUUUUAUCUUAAUUGUGGGUUUGCAGUUUGCAUAAAGCAUGUGAAGGAGGGAAAGAACCCAUGGAGUUGCACACAAUAGAGGAGUUGUCUCAACAUUUGAAUCUGAAUAUUAUGGUUGUUGAUCAUGCCAGUUUGGCACUUGUGACAAACUGUUGAUUUGUUGUUAAGGGUCUUCUAUGUCCAGCCCUUUUGGCACUUGAAAGAGUGUUGUCUGUCCUUUGGCACUUGAAACUGUUAAUUUGCUAUGCUGUUAAACCCCUUGGGCACUUGUGACAAACUCAUAUUAGAGCUGCUGUUAAGCCCCUUGUGCAC
rnacentral:lncRNA from 1 species